CACCGUAUUCGCACCUACCAAUGACGCCUUCAGCAAAAUCAGCCCAGACGCUCUCACAUACUUGAACAACAACCCAGACUUGUUGGAACAGGUCCUGCUGUACCACAUCGUCAAACAGACAACACUGUACAGUAUCGGAAUGAGACACGCCAUGAUCUUCCAGACCGCUGACCAGCACCGGGACAGCAUCAUGCUUAUUGAGGACGGCAACGACAACAUCUACAUGAACCACGCCAGAGUGGAUGACCGAGACCUCAGUGCCACCAACGGAGUUAUCCACACAAUCGAGGAGGUGUUGAUUCCUACCAACAUUCUGAUUGCCAUCGAAGACCAAGGUCUGAUGGUCGGGUAGAUCUGCCCUGUGACGUCAAGUAGAUCCAUGUUGUGACGUCAUCUAGAUCUGUGCUGUGACGUCAUGUAGAUCCGUGAUGUGACGUCAGGCAGGCAUAUGGAUCUGUGCUGUGACGUCGGGUGGAUCUAUCAAGCUACGAGAGAAAUGAAAAAGAGAAGGAAAGAACUUUGAAAAUCUGAACUCGAUAGCUAAACUUUCGAAAUCCCGUUUUAAUAAAAAUCGUAUUUUCAUAAAGUGGUUUAUAAUACCGGAAUCGCAAUGUUUUGUGGUGGGUGCGGGGUUGUUAUUUUUUGUUUGUUUGGGG